UAUAUUAAUUUUUGGCUGACUAUAAUAAUUUUUGGCUACCUUCAAUAUGAAGAGAGUGUUGCUUGUAGAAGACUUUGCUUGUUUCCAAGAUGGGUUCAUGAAAUUUGGGUAUCUCAGGGCUCUCUUUGGCAUUGCUUAAGGUAGGGGACCACAAGGUAGUUAACCAUGGAGUCAAGUGCUCAAUGUAAUCAUGUAUAUAACAUAUCACAUUCCCUCUGUCAACUGAUUCUGUGAUUCUAGAAAAGGGAGACCAACUGAGGGAGCACCUUACACAUGCAUGUGUUCAUAAUAUCCAUGUUUGCUUAGGGAUUCCUCAGCUCGGUUCUAUUCAUACACCAGUUUGACCUUUCAUGAGGUUGCUCGUAGAGAUGGGUUGGCCCAUUUGGAUGGCCUUGAGUGGGUUUAGUCGACUUUGGUUUUAUUGACGAGUUCAGCCCAGUUCAGUACCAUGCUUGAGCUGGCCUAUUCCUUUAUGCCCUUGGCCCAAGUGCUUCAAGACUUGAGAGGAUAAUUGUGUGGAGAUAGGCUCAAUAGUUUAGCCCACGUAGGUAUUUGCUCUAUAUCGAAUGGCCAUUUGGGUUUAGGUUUAGUGGUUUCGACUAACCCAAGGCUUGGAUCCGCCCCAUUUAUAUUUUGCCCCUUCAUUUGCCCCUUAGCUCACACUAAGGUUCUCUUGGUAAGAGCUACUAAUCGGUACUUCAACCGUUGCGUCGCUUCUAAUCUUUUUCAGUUUGGUCUUGGUGGCAGUUCAAAUUCUAACACAUGCACUUCGCAUGUGUCCUUUUGCAAGGACACAUGACAGCAUGGCAUUGCUGCGUAGAGGUAAUGCAUCAUUCCUCUACAAAAGGACGUGACUCGUACCAUCACAUCUAUUAAGGGUAAUAAAAACCCUAGGGGUUGUCCUUUCAACUUUCCAACUAUUCCCAAAACCCGUCUUCUUUCCUCUUUGGUUCAUAUAGUGUGCUACUCCGACUCGUCUCCGGUGCUGUUGGUCUUUAGAUAUCGCCGUUCCUUUCUGAUUCCAAACUUCAGAAUCCACAUUUUUCCUUGACGAUCGUUGCUCAUCCAUCGAAUCUCUAUAAGUUCCCUUGAAUCUCUUUUUCUUUGUGUUUUUCAGUCUCUGUUGCCAUUCUUGGGCCUUGUGCCGUUGUUUUCGACGAUAUGCACCAUUUUCCUGACAUUUUCUUAGAGUUGCUUUGUUUUUCCUUCUUUGGGUCUGGGUCAUGGGCAAGUUUCGUGCCUUAAUCGAUACUCUAGAGGCAAUGUCCCUAUUUCGUCGUGAUUAUGGGAUUUCGGACGAUGUUACCCUUGCGUUGGCAAAGGAUGAUGCCAAAUGCAUGGGAACAAGGUCUACCUCUGCGUUUCCUGUUGUUGUCAUUGUCAAAGAAGGGCUAAUGUGACAACCAAACCAUUUAUGCACAAUGCAUAUUCUAUUAUUCUUACAUUCAUGCUACAUGUUAUAUGCUUAUGUGAAAUAUAGCUUGUUAGCAUUAGGAAGAGAAUAAGAAACUAAUUUGAAAAGUUAUGUCUAGGAUUAAUUUAUUUUGUGCUUUGAGUUAGGGGAAUGACUUUAGGACUUGAUUUGAGAACAAUAGCAUGUGCCUUAGUACUAAUUGAGGAGCUUAAGAACCUUAGUCUAUUGUGCUUGUCCAUUUCAUUUUAUAAAAAUUUUGUUAAUCGGGAUUAGUGUUAAUUAAGUAUAAUUAGUGAGUCUUAAUUAGGAUUAAGUAUGAUUAAGCCAAACCUUGAUUAAUUAGUAUUAAUCUUAAUUAAACUAAGCCAAGUGAGUAGGAUUAGCCAAUUAAUGAAGCUAGAAAACUUUUCCAACUUUUGCCCUACCUCACCAAAUAAAAGCUUAGCCCAAACCAAAUAAAUAAAAUCUGCAGCCUAGAACUAACGUGAAGGAGCUAGAGAAAAGAGGAAUAAAUAAGAAAAAGAGAGAAAGAAGGGAAAAAAAGAAGAACUCAAGGGAACUUCAUCAAAUUCAUUCUAAAAAGGUGUUCUAAGGUUAAGCCUUGAAGAAGAAGUUAAACCCUCGUUCACGAAGCCAAUUGUGAUGACGAAGAUCAAGUUCAAGAAGAGAGAUCGAGUUAGAAGUCUUUUCCUUUUGUUUUUGUAAUUUUGGAAGUGACAAUCUAGAGAUGAUGGCUUUGUAUAUAAGUUUUGGUUUUUGUUUAGGUGUAUAUUCAUAAUAUUGUACUUUUCUUUUGUUGUUGGACUUGUAAAUCUCAAAGAUAAUAAAUGAGAAGUUGUUUGUUUGUUUUA